UAUUAUCCUUGGUACUUUCCACAGCCAUUUGGAUUCUCCAGCAGAUGCAGAAUCCAGCUGCCAGCCUGCCUCAGGGGUGAGCUCUGCCGUUGCUGACGGUUGUACCCAAGAAUACCUGGCUACAAAGCACCACAGAUGUGUGCCUGGCUCUUGAUGGGGCUGUUGUAUCUUUGAUACCCCACCUGCAUUUUGAAGAGGGCUUGAUAAAUGCAGACAAAGUCUUAUUCAGAGUGACAGCAGUGUCAAGUGGGCAGCAGUUGUGCUGCGUAUUAGAAGACUUUCAACAGUGAUGCACAGGAAAGCAAACAGGACAUCGGUGUAGUGACAACCCUGCCGUGGCUCCAUGUGCAUCUCUAACGGAGGAGACACAAUCUCAGACGCAUGCAGCUGAAGUUUGGAUUUCUCUGCACAGCAGAUUGAGGUUUCCAGGGUCCCAAGAUCGUCUGAGGGUCCCUCAUUGGCUUCGUGACGGAAAGUGGUUGAUUCACCUCCACCCAGCGGUAAUUACGUGUUGCUGUCUGCUGGAAGUUCCCAUGUUUGGCAUUGGAGUGGUAAGCCUAGAACUCACUGCUGAGAUUAACUGCAAUGUAAAACCAUGAUUUCUUGAUGCCUCUGUUUUAUAUUCAGCCUAGUAAAAGUUACUUAGUGCAUUAUAUUAUUUACUUGUGAUAUUAUAUAAUCAUUAAAAUAUUCCUAAUUGCUGUUACACUGACAUACUCAUACUUCUCAGCAGCUAUUUGCAUGCAGCCUUCCCAUCAAACAAGAGAGCAGUUCUGGUAGCAGAAGAGUUGGUGAUUUGUUGUUGUUGUUUUAUUUUAUUUUAUUUUAUUUUAUUUGCCUUUUAGGAGAGUCUUUUUUUUUUUUUUCUCCCUCCUUGUAUUCUAGAUCCUGAUGCAUACAGUAGAGCUCCUUCCAGAGGGGCUUUGCUCGCCCCUGAAAGCUGAUCGUUUUAGCCCCUCAGCUUUAAGACACAAUUACUCCCUUGUCAGUGCAGUUCUUACCGAACCACGCUGACUUGGCAGGUCUCCACUCCUUCUUUGUUUAAGUUUAUUUAUUUUUAUAUCAGAAAGGUAGUAAAAUUGACAAAAGAGGUUUAUUCAGACUCUAACUGCACAGUUUACCUCACACACGAAAUAAAACAUCCAGCACACUUCCUUUUGUUUGUGGCAUCAAUGCUGAACUGUUAUAAUGCCAGAGUUAGGUAACUUCUCCCUGCCUUUGCCUUUUGAAACCUUUUUUGCAUCAGUGUCCCAUGCUCAGUUUUCUGUUUGCUCUGCACCCUCCAUCUUUUCGGGAUGUUGUUGGCUCAAAGUGGAAAACUUUUCACAGAAGUGAGCCCAAGAAUGUAGGGCCCCAGUCCCAGCAGGCAGGGCUUUCCCUGGAAGAGAGGGAUGGAGAAAUGAAGGGAGGGGGCUCCCAUGGGGGCCAUUUUGGGUAGAAUUAGUGAUGCCCCCCGAGCAGUUCAUGUGUCUCCUCACUCAGCUUCUGUGGGUCCCAUCUGCUCCCAAACACUGCAUCAGGACCAGCCAUAGCCUCACUGGGGUCAGGCCUCCACUUGGCUGCGUCCCGUCCUGGAGCACCUCAGAGCUGCUGUGCUGAGUAACCUCUUCCAUGGCACGACCACUAAACCCUUGAGUCCUUACUCAACCAGUGGGCUCUCAUUUAGGGAUCAGAUUUAGUAUCCAAAUGAUCCUAUAAACACAGCUAUGGAACAGGAGCUGCAAUCUAUUUAGCAAGGUCUGUUUUCAUGUAUGUUCAUUGGUGAGUUGGGAUCAGAGUGGGUGUAGGUCCUGGGGAUGGGUGACUGGAGUUAGCAAAGAAGAAAGAGGUGUGGGUGGAUGGAGUAACAUUUCAAAACAGAAGGUGAAUUCACAACUCUGUUUCUAACUGGUGUAUGGUAAUACUCCUGCUACAAUGAUAUAUGGGGUCUGGAAAAGUGAAUAAAUUGUCUUUAAAAACCCAGUUUAAUUGAGGGAAUAGAGCAGAGACAGCAAUGCAGGAAGGAGAAAUUAAUUCACUCAAUAUUAUUUGUCAACAUACCAACUUCCCCGCCUUUAUAAGCACUGCAAUAGUUCUGUCAUCCAAUGCAGGCACACAACAUGUCAACUAAUGGGGACACUGCUGCUGGGGAGGCUCUUGGACAAGGUCAGCAAUAGCCAGACCAUAUACUUAAAUGUUUUCUGCAGAAGCAGGUUCAUUUGUGACCUGGGCACUGGGACUACCCAGCCUCCAGCCCCAUGUGUGUAUUUUGGCGCCAGCCUUCCUCUUCUGAGGCUCUGCUCCUCACCUAGGCUGUGUAUGUAGCCAAGUCUGUGCUCUGCAAAAGGCAAUCAGUGACGUUACUGUGCUCUGCUGACCAGGGGUACUGUCUAACAGUUGUUCUGAGUGCACUGCAGGUUACAUGCAUGUUAACCGCCAUUUUGACUUUGGGGAGGCCUGUAACCUACAUCAGAUGGUGGGCUGGGAUAUUUGCAGGCUUGCCCAAGAGCUUAUCAUGUUCAGCACUACUGAAAGCCAUGGGAAUGGGGUACCCAAAUCCCUUUGGUGCUGUUACCAUCCCCAUCCAGCUUUCCUCAGCCAUGCCUGUAACCUGUCCACCACCAGCAUUGCUGGGUGUCUGUGCCCAUGUGCUCUAAGUGCCUUGCUUUAGAAACAACUGAAGGGCAUUGCCUCCUGUGCUGCAAAGCAUGCACAUUGUCUUUGUGCUUAAACUCACCAAUGGGUGCAGCCAGAAACCAGGCCUUGGGAACUCCGAUUUUGACUCCGACACCGUCUGAUGAGCUGAGUCCUGCCCUUGACAGCCCAGAGCUGCCGCUCGCCCUCCUGGAGGUGAGGUGACCCUGGUUGGGCGGGUCACACACCCACACCAUCAAGCCCUCCCAAACGUAUGCGGUGCAUCAUCACCUUUGUGCUACUCCCAGCUGAACAGAGAGAGGACUUUACCUCCCCUUCUUGUAUCAGAAAGGUCAGCCCCAGCACAGACUGCCUUUUCUUUUAAAGCCAUUAAAAGGAUUUUACAUCAUAAAAUGCUGUAAUAGCAAUGCAAUUAAUGACUCUUUAGAAGCAUUCAGAGAUUACUGGCUCUUGGUGCAGUAAAUAGAAAGCAGUGAGGUUCUGUAGUUCAUUUCCAAACAGGUGAGUGGGAACUCUGAAAGCAGCAGCGAUUAGUGUGUCUGCAGGUCUGGUUUCUCCUUUCCCUGAAGUGAAGGUAGGCGUUAGUCUGAGGUGUGCAACAUCAACAUCAUGCCUGAUAUAAGAUUUGCCAAUGUUCGUUUGUUGCUUUCUACUCUUUAGCAAUCAAACAGAAACUUUUCAGCUGGUACCUUCUGGGUGACAAGGUUUGAGAAAUAACCUUUCGGUCACUAUUGCAGCAUUGUGAAAAUAUUCUUAGGUGAUAAGACAGCUGCAUCCCAUGAGUAGAGCUCAUUAUCGCAGCGCAACCUGUGUUCCCUGGUAUGGUUCAGAGAGUUUGUUACCAAAAAUGUACAUUACUUCUCUGGGUGGUAGUGUAUACACUGCAAGAAAAAUGCUCCAGAUGGAGCUGCUCAAACUUACAUUAGCAUAUUUGCCUGUUAUAGAAACCUUUAAACUUAGUUCUGCUUAAGCACCAUUAGGGGCAAAAGCUACAUUGCCUGCUGUGGCAGUGGGACUGGGUCGGUAAUGCCAUAUUAUGAUAAAUAGCCUGUAUUGUAUCACAAAUAUUGUGAUUGCUCAGGAGACUGGUGACCCUCUCGUUACUUUCUGAAGCUAUAUUUAAGUUUCAAAAUUCAUGUUAUUUGCCAUAUAAGCCAUUGUAAAAAUGAAUAUCAUUGUAGUGAUAUAUAACAGACAAAGGUAUCUGUUCCUGGUGAAGCAGUGUUGAGUCUUUAUAUAUUCCCACCAAAGGAACAAACUAAGUUUUAACAACAAUAGUUGGCAGUAUUUCUAUUAAAUGGCAUUAGCCAAUAAUUUCUAAAAAAAUGCCUGUUAAUUACAGCAUUCAACCCUUGCAGACAGUUCUAUUUUACAUGAGUGCAAUCCAGUUUCCAGCCAUCAGCUGAAGACUGUAGCCUUUCGUUUUAGCUGAACAAGACCAUAUAUUACCAGAUUCCUUUCUGGGAUAAAUCUAUUGUCACCAUUUUUUUUUUUGUUUUUGUUUUUUAUUAUUUUUGGUUUUGGUUGGUUGGUUGGUUGGUUUUAAUCCUGACACUGCCAAGUAACAUUCAAAAGAGACAGUUUACUCACCGCUACCUCCAGGCAGCUCAUCUGACUGGUGAGUGACCUGCCAGCUCAGGUCCAGGGCAGCUGCUUAGCUCAAACACGGCGCUCUGCUGCUGCGGCUGGGCUGUCAGGGCAGCCAGCCUAGCUCCAGAGCCCAGGUGACCUGCUGUCCUCACGGCAGCCCUAACACCAGCAGCAAACUGCGCGUCCGGAGGCACAGUGCUCGCACAGUGCCACGUCGCACUGCAGCAGCCAGCUUGGGCUGGGGACUGCUGGCGGAGCUGGGGUGGGCUGAGGAGCAGGAGCUGCCUGCUAGUUGGGGCAUCCAGCACAUUCUGCCCGGGCAUCUGGGCUGUAUCGUGUGUCCCUUGAACACUGAACCCCCUUGGCGUGUUCAGCAAGAGGGCUGGCACAGGGUGUGCUGCCACGGCCGUCUGCUGCUGGCCCUCAGCUGCUCGCAGGAGGUGUCUGCUGGGUUCCCAGCACAUCUGGUAGACGUCAUGUCAUGCCACGAAGCGUUACCUUCUAGCUACACAAAUGCAUCCUAGAAGGCACAGAGAAGGAGCAGAUAAGGAUAAAUCUCUUGUAGGCAACUGUAACAGCGGCAGGAAAAAAGUGAUAUUUGUUUUGUACUUAUCACUUUGACUAGCUGUAAUUAUUAUUGCUAUUGUUAGUGUUUCUAUUUGCAAUAUCACCUGAGGCUGCCCAGCCAGCACUGGGCUCCAUUGUAUUCAGCACAAAUGCAUCCAGACCCCUCCAAAAAACUUCCAGAUCAGAAUGCAAGUGACGUACGAUGGCAGAGAGAAGGGAUAAAACCAAAUGGAUACAAUUAGCCUAGACACAACUUAGUCAUUCUCUUCUUGGUAUAAUUAUGAAAUGGACAAAGGUAGUGCCAAAUAACCUCAAAUGCCCUUCUGGCCAUAAUUAAUUAUAUUGCAUAAUAAUAGUGUCAGUUUAAACAUUGUUUAAAACCGAUGCUUUGCUCAAAAUUACUGUACAGCCACACUUAUAUCUUGCACAACAGACUAAUACAUAGCAGUGUCUUGACUUCCAUUUUCUAUUUCAUUGUGUCCUCUGUGCAUAGGAAAAGCUCUUGACCAAAGAGGAGUCAGUGGUACAGUGGUAAAUAAAAGUGGGUAGAUUCAUCUGUCUGUGGUAUAGAAGGAGCAGGUAAAUACUCGAAGUGCCCAGAGUAGAAGUGGGUACAAAGGGAGUGCCCUUUGCCUGCAUUUACCCUUGACUACACCACUUAGAAGAGUUGCAUAAUUGAUACAAUUGAACCACAUCAGUCCUUUAUUUAUAGAACAUAAUGAAAUGGUUUUCAACAUCCUGGAUCACGCUACAUGGGUGAUUGCCAUAUAUGCAUCCAAGGAGAAUAAAUAAAAACAUUUCCCUAAGGUAUUCUGUCUCUUCACCUUCUCUAGUUGCAUCCCGGACUUAAUUUUGAGAGAAGUUCUGUAACUAAUGCAGCAUGUAAUCCUGUGCUGCUAUUGCACACACUUUGUCCAGAGGAGAGCUGCAGUGAUGCUGCCCCAUAACACUGGAGGUUCACAUUUCCCAUGUAGAACAUAAAGUGUUGUCAUAGAUGACGGAAGAGUGUGCACAUAGCUAUACAUAUUGCAAACUGCUUAACACAGACCCCCACAUUGUACUGAAGUUACUCCUUUUUUUCAAACUUUGUUAGCUUAUAUUUGACAUAAAUCUGGCUUGCCUAGAAAGCAGACGGGCUCAAGCUCAAAAAAAAAAAAAAAAAAAAAGCUGUGGCAUAUGAUAGUUGCUUUCAGUGAUGGAAAUGAAAGUGAGUCAUGAAGCGGUCCCCUGAUAAACACAAAUGGCAUAGAUAAUCUGAGCCCACUGUUUGAGCCGCAGGCUCCUGCACCAGCUUGUGCUUGUGAUGAUCAUAGAAUCACAGAAUCAUUAAGGUUGGAAAAGACCUUCAAGAUCAUCUGGUCCAACCACCACCCUACUGCCAAUGUCACCCACAAAACCAUGUCUCUCAUUACUGCACCUUGCACUGUGAUCACCAUCCAAGGACAAGUGUGGUCUACAACAGAAGCAUGAGCAUCAGGUAGCACUGAGAAAGGAUUACUAUAAAAGUUAUAAAAAAUAAAACACUGCCAUUAUUUCAUCUUUUUUUUUCUAUCAUUGGAAAAAUAUGGAUAAUUCAGAAGUAUUUCUCUUGCUGGCUGUUUUGUCCAUCUUUACAUGAUGUUCUACUAUUCCUAUUGCAUCAUUUGAACUUGGCCUUUACUUAUGAUGCUACAUUGUUUUAUGUAUACACUUUAUAAUUAGAACUACUAAUUGCAAGCUUGCUUGUUGCCUUUAGUUGAUUUUCCAGAGCAUUACUUGCAAAAAGAUCACAAUUACUCAGUUCUUUUCAAUUGCUCAGUGAGUAUUUUCAUACAUAGAAACCAGGACUAGGUGUUUAACUUACUGUGUUUCUAAGCUUUAGACUGUGCCCAUCUGGUGUGCAGAAAUGAUCUGCAUCAAAAAUUUAAUCUUUUCUGAGGUGUUUA